rnacentral:rRNA from 1 species
GUGGGGAAUAUUGGACAAUGGGCGAAAGCCUGAUCCAGCCAUGCCGCGUGUGUGAAGAAGGUCUUCGGAUUGUAAAGCACUUUAAGUUGGGAGGAAGGGCAGUAAGUUAAUACCUUGCUGUUUUGACGUUACCGACAGAAUAAGCACCGGCUAACUUCGUGCCAGCAGCCGCGGUAAUACGAAGGGUGCAAGCGUUAAUCGGAAUUACUGGGCGUAAAGCGCGCGUAGGUGGUUCAGCAAGUUGGAGGUGAAAUCCCCGGGCUCAACCUGGGAAGUGCCUCGAAAACUACGGAGCUAGAGUACGGUAGAGGGUAGUGGAAUUUCCUGUGUAGCGGUGAAAUGCGUAGAUAUAGGAAGGAACACCAGUGGCGAAGGCGACUACCUGGACUGAUACUGACACUGAGGUGCGAAAGCGUGGGGAGCAAACAGGAUUAGAAACCCCGGUAGUCC